rnacentral:rRNA from 1 species
GACGACGCUGGCGGCGUGGAUUAGGCAUGCAAGUCGGACGGUAGGGCUUUAUCGUAAGAUAGAGUUUGAGAGUGGCGAACGGGUGAGUAACACGUAGGAAUCUACCCUUAAGACGGGGACAACCCAGGGAAACUUGGGCUAAUACCGGAUGAGAGUGCGAGAGAUUGCAUUUAAAAGGAUGGCGAAAGUUGUCGCUUAGGGAUGAGCCUGCGGUCUAUUAGUUAGUUGGUGAGGUAAGAGCUCACCAAGGCGAUGAUAGAUAGGCGGCCUUAACGGGUGGUCGCCCACACUGGGAUUGAGAUACGGCCCAGACUCCUACGGGAGGCAGCAGUCGAGAAUAGUCUACAAUGGCCGGAAGGCUGAUAGUGCGACGCCGCGUGAACGAGGGAGCCCUUCGGGGUGUAAAGUUCUUUUCUGUACGAGCAGUGCUAUAUAUAUGGAUAGUAUAUAUAGAGGGAUAGUAGUAUAGGAAUAAGCAACGGCUAACUCCGUG